rnacentral:tRNA from 1 species
GCCCACUUAGCUUAGAGGUUAGAGCAUCGCAUUUGUAAUGCGAGGUCAUCGGUUCAAAUCCGAUAGUCUGCU